UACGUAGGGAGCAAGCGUUGUCCGGAAUCAUUGGGCGUAAAGCGCGCGUAGGUGGCCCAGUAAGUCCGUUCUGAAAGUCACAGGCUCAACCUGUGAAAGCGGAUGGAUACUGCUGGGCUAGAGUCCGGAAGAGGCGAGUGGAAUUCCUGGUGUAGCGGUGGAAUGCGCAGAUAUCAGGAGGAACACCAAUGGCGAAGGCAGCUCGCUGGGACGUGACUGACGCUGAGACGCGAAAGCGUGGGGAGCAAACAGG
rnacentral:rRNA from 1 species